AUUGAACGCUGGCGGCAGGCCUAACACAUGCAAGUAGAACGAGUGGCGGACGGGUGAGUAAUGUAUGGGAAACUGCCUGAUGGAGGGGGAUAACUACUGGAAACGGUAGCUAAUACCGCAUACCCUCAGAUGUGCCCAGAUGGGAUUAGCUUGUUGGUGGGGUACAGGCUCACCAAGGCGACGAUCCCUAGCUGGUCUGAGAGGAUGACCGGCCACACUGGAACGGAGACACGGUCCAGACUCCUACGUGAGGCAGCAGUGGGGAAUAUUGCACAAUGGGCGCAAGCCUGAUGCAGCCAUGCCGCGUGUAUGAAGAAGGCCUUAGGGUUGUAAAGUACUUUCAGCGGGGAGGCGUGACCCGCAGAAGAAGCACCGGCUAACUCCGUGCCAGCAGCCGCGGUAAUAC
rnacentral:rRNA from 1 species